AUACGGAGGGUGCAAGCGUUACUCGGAAUCACUGGGCGUAAAGCGCGCGUAGGCGGUUUAGAAAGUCAGAUGUGAAAGCCUAUGGCUUAACCAUAGAACUGCAUUUGAAACUUCCAAACUAGAGUGGGGGAGAGGUCAGUGGAAUUAGUGGUGUAGGGGUAAAAUCCGUAGAGAUCACUAGGAAUACUCAUUGCGAAGGCGACUGACUGGAACUUAACUGACGCUGAGGCGUGAAAGCGUGGGGAGCAAACAGGAUUAGAAACCCCAGUAGUCC
rnacentral:rRNA from 1 species